ACAGCAGCAGCCACGGUAAUACGUAGGUGGCAAGCGUUGUCCGGAAUUAUUGGGCGUAAAGGGCUCGCAGGCGGUUUCUUAAGUCUGACGUGAAAGCCCCCGGCUCAACCGGGGAGGGUCGUUGGAAACUGGGAAACUUGAGUGCAGAAGAGGAGAGUGGAAUUCCACGUGUAGCGGUGAAAUGCGUAGAGAUGUGGAGGAACACCAGUGGCGAAGGCGACUCUCUGGUCUGUAACUGACGCUGAGGAGCGAAAGCGUGGGGAGCGAACAGGAUUAGAUACCCCAGUAGUCCCUGUCUCUUAUAC
rnacentral:rRNA from 1 species